AUUAAAGACAACUGGCUUUCUGCUCUGUUCUCGGGUGAUUACACUGUGAUCUUGCAGCUUAAGGUACAUGUUCACUCAAAGUGUGUGAUCUGGAGGGAUGAUGCUACAAAGAUCAAGAGUUAGCAGUGUAUAUUUAGCACUGUCCAGAGAAGAACGACCUUGAGUCAAACAGUAAAAUAUUAUUAUACUCAACUUUUCUCAAGAGAAAGACGUUCUGUUUCUUCAUAGUAGGCUACAACACUGAAGGGAAAAUGGGGUACCUUUUGACUUGACUCUUUUUCUGGAAAGUAUGCAGAAU